AGAGGGGGACUGAGACACGGCCCCCACUCCUACGGGAGGCAGCAGCUAAGAAUAUUGCACAAUGGACGAAAGUCUGAUGCAGCGACACCGCGUGAGGGAUGACAGCUUUAGGGUUGUAAACCUCUUUUAUUAGGGAAUAGCAAGGAAGGUACCUAAUGAAUAAGCUACGGCUAACUACGUGCCAGCAGCCGCGGUAAUACGUAGGUAGCGAACGUUGUCCGGAAUCACUGGGCGUAAAGGGUCCGUAGGCGGUUUAAUAAGUCUCAUAUGAAAGCUCCAAGCUCAACUUGGAGAUGUUGUGAGAUACUGUUAGACUUGAGGCUGUUAGAGGCAAGUGGAAUUCCAGGUGUAGUGGUGAAAUGCGUAGAUAUCUGGAGGAACACCAGUGGCGAAAGCGACUUGCUGGGACAGUUCUGACGCUAAGGGACGAAAGCGUGGGGAGCAAACCGGAUUAGAUACCCGGGUAGUCCACGCUGUAAACGAUGAUUGCUAGGUUUUCGAGGCAUCGACCCCUCGUGAGCCGAAGUUAACGCGUUAAGCAAUCCGCCUGAGUAGUACGGCCGCAAGGCUAAAACUCAAAGAAAUUGACGGGGGACCGCACAAGCAGCGGAGCGUGUGGUUUAAUUCGAUGGUAAGCGAAGAACCUUACCUGGGUUUGACAUGUAAGUAGUACUGAACCGAAAGGGGAAGGACCCGCAAGGGAGCUUACACAGGUGUUGCAUGGUUGUCGUCAGCUCGUGCCGUGAGGUGUUGGGUUAAGUCCCGCAACGAGCGCAACCCUCUUCGUUAGUUACACUCUCUAACGAUACUGCCCCUAAAAGGGAGGAAGGUGGGGAUGACGUCAAAUCAUCAUGGCUCUUACACCCAGGGCUACACACACGCUACAAUGGCAAGUACAAACGGUCGCCAACCCGCGAGGGGGAGCCAAUCCGAUAAAACUUGUCUCAGUUGGGAUUGCAGGCUGAAAUUCGCCUGCAUGAACGUGGAGUUGCUAGUAAACGCAGGUCAGCAUACUGCGUUGAAUACGUUCCCGGUCCUUGUACACACCGCCCGUCACGUCAUGGAAGUUGGUAACACUUGAA
rnacentral:rRNA from 1 species